GAUGAACGCUGGCGGCGUGCCUAAUACAUGCAAGUCGAGCGAACAGAUGAGGAGCUUGCUCCUCUGACGUUAGCGGCGGACGGGUGAGUAACACGUGGAUAACCUACCUAUAAGACUGGGAUAACUUCGGGAAACCGGAGCUAAUACCGGAUAAUAUAUUGAACCGCAUGGUUCAAUAGUGAAAGACGGUUUUGCUGUCACUUAUAGAUGGAUCCGCGCCGCAUUAGCUAGUUGGUAAGGUAACGGCUUACCAAGGUAACGAUGCGUAGCCGACCUGAGAGGGUGAUCGGCCACACUGGAACUGAGACACGGUCCAGACUCCUACGGGAGGCAGCAGUAGGGAAUCUUCCGCAAUGGGCGAAAGCUUGACGGAGCAACGCCGCGUGAGUGAUGAAGGUCUUCGGAUCGUAAAACUCUGUUAUUAGGGAAGAACAAAUGUGUAAGUAACUAUGCACGUCUUGACGGUACCUAAUCAGAAAGCCACGGCUAACUACGUG
rnacentral:rRNA from 1 species